rnacentral:lncRNA from 1 species
GUUUCCAAUGUCACCCAAUAUUUGAAGAGACAAAAGAGUUGCUUCUGAAUUAUCGGCAUUCUGAUUAGGAGAUGGAAAGGAAGAAUGGAUAUGAUAUGAAUAAUACUAUUCAUCUACAGUCUCGAUGACGAUUGGUCUAUGUGGUCAGUUGCCAGGUUGUCCAAUAAAAUUUGAAUGCAUUUUUAGACAAUGUGACGCUAAUCCCUCCAUCUCGGAUUACUUCUUGAUAGCUUAAGGUAACUUUAGUUCUUUAUCGAAAAAGCGUAAAUUUUAAAUGGCCUUGUUUUGACUGGCAAAUUAUAGGUUAGAGGAUAUAGAUCAGGUAGUGGAUAGCAGGAAUUGAACCGGCACAAGGCAUAUUUGUCUUAGCUUAAAAAAGUUUAGGUACAUGUACAGAACUUAGGUUUAAAAAUAAUUUUUUUACUGGUCAAAAUUGGAAUUAAUUAUUUUGAUAUUGAGAUAAGAGUUACUAUCAAAUUAAGUAAUUUUUUAAAAAUAAAAUUAAGAAGUAAUUUACCCGAACAUGUUUAGAACUCUUUUUUUUUUUUUUAUAUACUUGGUGUGUUUGGUAAAACUUUUUAAAGGUUAUAGUUAUGGGCCAUUGGAGUGUAUGAAAAAGUUUAGAGUCAUAUAAAAUAUGUAAAUAAAACUGAUGUUUGACCAACUUCUAAGUUUGAACUUGUGUUAAUGCAAAAGUCUAUUGUUGGCAGGUAUCGCCAUUAUAAUCUUCUUGGAUCUCGAUCAUUUUAGAGCUCCAGAUGUAAUGAGCUAGUUCUUGCUAUGUAACUACAUGAGGGUCUGUCCACGAUCUUACUCAGAAAGAAUGAUAGUUUUACGAGGUGAACGAUG